rnacentral:rRNA from 2 species
GCUCAGGACGAACGCUGGCGGCGUGCUUAACACAUGCAAGUCGAACGAUGAAGCCCUUCGGGGUGGAUUAGUGGCGAACGGGUGAGUAACACGUGGGCAAUCUGCCCUUCACUCUGGGACAAGCCCUGGAAACGGGGUCUAAUACCGGAUAACACUCUGUCCCGCAUGGGACGGGGUUAAAAGCUCCGGCGGUGAAGGAUGAGCCCGCGGCCUAUCAGCUUGUUGGUGGGGUAAUGGCCUACCAAGGCGACGACGGGUAGCCGGCCUGAGAGGGCGACCGGCCACACUGGGACUGAGACACGGCCCAGACUCCUACGGGAGGCAGCAGUGGGGAAUAUUGCACAAUGGGCGAAAGCCUGAUGCAGCGACGCCGCGUGAGGGAUGACGGCCUUCGGGUUGUAAACCUCUUUCAGCAGGGAAGAAGCGAAAGUGACGGUACCUGCAGAAGAAGCGCCGGCUAACUACGUGCCAGCAGCCGCGGUAAUACGUAGGGCGCAAGCGUUGUCCGGAAUUAUUGGGCGUAAAGAGCUCGUAGGCGGCUUGUCACGUCGGAUGUGAAAGCCCGGGGCUUAACCCCGGGUCUGCAUUCGAUACGGGCUAGCUAGAGUGUGGUAGGGGAGAUCGGAAUUCCUGGUGUAGCGGUGAAAUGCGCAGAUAUCAGGAGGAACACCGGUGGCGAAGGCGGAUCUCUGGGCCAUUACUGACGCUGAGGAGCGAAAGCGUGGGGAGCGAACAGGAUUAGAUACCCUGGUAGUCCACGCCGUAAACGUUGGGAACUA